rnacentral:rRNA from 1 species
UACGGGGGGAGCAAGCGUUGUCCGGAAUUAUUGGGCGUAAAGAGCUUGUAGGCGGUUUGUCGCGUCUGCCGUGAAAGUCCGGGGCUCAACUCCGGAUCUGCGGUGGGUACGGGCAGACUAGAGUGAUGUAGGGGAGACUGGAAUUCCUGGUGUAGCGGUGAAAUGCGCAGAUAUCAGGAGGAACACCGAUGGCGAAGGCAGGUCUCUGGGCAUUAACUGACGCUGAGGAGCGAAAGCAUGGGGAGCGAACAGG